rnacentral:misc_RNA from 1 species
GCUGAGCGCAACGUUUAAAGACAAACCAAUUCUCGUGUGUGUGUAUGUGUGAAAGGUUUCUUCCAGCAAACGUCAAGUACCUAAGUCUUUGACUAAGUGGCUCUGAACGCUCGCAGCAGCAGUCCAGUGUAAGCGUGUAUUUUAUGAGAAAAACUACAAGUCAGCUUUUGAUGCGCUAAAACGGUGUUUUUGUGUUGCUGAUAACUCUUGUGAAGCCGUCGGGUUUUCGUCGUUUACGAAUUUUUGUGUCCGUUGUGUGAAAGAUUUUUGAUAAAGUGCAAAAAUUAAUUUAAAAAAAAAAAUAAAAAUUUACUAUUUGCUGUGAAAGCUUAAUAAAACAACUAAAUAUUAUCAAGACCGCAUAUUCAGGCAAAAACUAUAAACAACAAGCGCACACACUGUGACAUAACUGAAACAGAUUUGGCAGCGUAAAAGUUGAAGGAUGUGUUGUUGUGGAACAUCCGCUGUCGAUAAACGGAAUUGAUGUGUAUGAAUUACUAUGGUUUAAAAAACCAUUAACGACACCAACAGCAACAGCAGAAACCAGCAAAACGCUCUCUCACCAACUACUCACACGUUGAAACGUCAAAAAUACGACACUACCUAUACUCAACAAAAUAACAGCAACAACAAAACGCACUUAACAGAACUCCUUUUUAAGGGUUUAAUAACAAAAGAAAAGCAAAAAUCAAAGAACAAGACACGACAGAAUGGUGUUGGUAUUGAACGGUGUCUUACAGGACGAUUGUCCAAUGGACACAAACAGUCUCUUCCUACAGCAUCCGGUUUACAGAGAUUAUGCGCAGCAACUGCUCUCCAUACCAAGAAAAUCGGUGGGCCCAGUUGGUCUGCUCUACGUGGGCCAACGUGAAAUGGCCGCUGCAGCGCCGCACGACAAGAACAUCAACAUUAUCGGCGCCGACGAUGCCACAACCUGCAUUAUUGUUGUGGUCAGGCAUUCAGGUUCAGGCGCUGUGGCUUUGGCGCACUUCGAUGGCAACGGCAUAGACGAGGCUGUCUGCACAAUGGUUGCACGCGUCCAAGAGUUGGCCUUAGGUUAUCCAGAGGGACGUAUUGAGUUGCAAUUAAUUGGUGGCUACCGAGAUCCACAAGGAUACGGCGAGGAGGUUUUCUACAGCAUAAUGCAAUCAUUCCAUAAGCAUCAUCUCGAAAUCGACUUGACUCAAGCCUGCGUCGGUGAGCUAAACACUAUACUGCGUGGCGAUAUCAACUACCCAAUCAUUUACGGCGUUGGUGUUAACAUAAAAACCGGUGAAAUAUUCCCAGCAACUUUUCUAGAUCGAGGACCGGACAGACAAUUGCGUGAUGCUCGCAACUUCAUGGGUGCACAAUCGGUCUUGGACAUUUACGACUCCUCCUUGGGCAUGUUGCGUAUCGGUCCCUUCAAUUAUGAUCCAUUGCGCGGCGCUGAUUUAUGGCUAUCACAGACAGAUGAAUUCCUCUUGCAACACUUAUCGACGAGUCCGGACGUUGAGCCGCCACACUUCACAAUGCAGAUACGCGCAACAAUAAAAUUCAUACAGGAUAAUCAAUUCCCCGCAAUCACCGUGUUUCGGGACAAUCGGCCACGCUACUAUCGGCGCGACGAGUCUACGGGCUGCUGGACUUUGGUUAGAUAUUAAUUACGAAUAAACGCGUACUCACACAUGCAUCCUUAUACAUAUAAACAAUACGUGCUCGCAUAUUUGCAUAGUUAUGCGCUUGAAACGAAAAUUCACAUAAGUGUUAUUAAGCUGCGCUUUUUCUUUGUUGUUUUAAAUGUACGCUUUAGCUGCUCCGUUCACUUUAUGGCUGCUCUGUACUUUUGUACUCGUUAAUGAUUGAGGCAAAUCAGCGUAAAAAAUAUAAAAAUAAAUAUUAAAAGUAAUGUUUUCGCUAGCUACGUGUGAAAAUAAUUAU